GCCGAACCGUCCAAACGUUAUUCGGAAUUACUGGGCUUAAAGGGUGCGUAGGCGGCGCGGAAAGUUGGGUGUGAAAUCCCUCGGCUCAACCGAGGAACUGCGCCCAAUACUACCGUGCUUGAGGGAGAUAGAGGUGAGCGGAACUUAGGGUGGAGCGGUGAAAUGCGUUGAUAUCCUAAGGAACACCGGUGGCGAAAGCGGCUCACUGGAUCUCUUCUGACGCUGAGGCACGAAAGCUAGGGUAGCGAACGGG
rnacentral:rRNA from 1 species